rnacentral:rRNA from 1 species
AUUGAACGCUGGCGGCAUGCCUAACACAUGCAAGUCGAACGGCAGCACGGCAGUAGCAAUACUGUGGGUGGCGAGUGGCGGACGGGUGAGGAAUACGUCGGAAUCUGCCCAGUCGUGGGGGAUAACUAGCCGAAAGGUUAGCUAAUACCGCAUACGACCGAGAGGUGAAAGCGGGGGACCGCAAGGCCUCGCGCGAUUGGAUGAGCCGACGUCGGAUUAGCUAGUUGGUGGGGUAAAGGCCCACCAAGGCGACGAUCCGUAGCUGGUCUGAGAGGAUGAUCAGCCACACUGGAACUGAGACACGGUCCAGACUCCUACGGAGGCAGCAGUGGGGAAUAUUGGACAAUGGGCGCAAGCCUGAUCCAGCAAUGCCGCGUGUGUGAAGAAGGGCCUUCGGGUU